AUUGAACGCUGGCGGCAGGCCUAACACAUGCAAGUCGAACGAGUGGCGGACGGGUGAGUAAUGUCUGGGAAACUGCCCGAUGGAGGGGGAUAACUACUGGAAACGGUAGCUAAUACCGCAUACCAUCGGAUGUGCCCAGAUGGGAUUAGCUAGUAGGUGGGGUAACGGCUCACCUAGGCGACGAUCCCUAGCUGGUCUGAGAGGAUGACCCACCACACUGGAACUGGGACACGGUCCAGACUCCUAAGGGAGGGCGCAGUGGGGAAUAUUGGACAAUGGGCGCAAGCCUGAUGCAGCCAUGCCGCGUGUAAGAAGAAGGCCUUCGGGGUGGAAAGUACUUUCAGCGGGGAGGCGUUACCCGCAGAAGAAGCACCGGCUAACUCCGUGCCAGCAGCCGCGGUAAUAC
rnacentral:rRNA from 1 species